GACGAACGCUGGCGGCGUGCCUAAUACAUGCAAGUAGAACGCUGAAGGAGGAGCUUGCUUCUCUGGAUGAGUUGCGAACGGGUGAGUAACGCGUAGGUAACCUGCCUGGUAGCGGGGGAUAACUAUUGGAAACGAUAGCUAAUACCGCAUAAGAGUAGAUGUUGCAUGACAUUUGCUUAAAAGGUGCAAUUGCAUCACUACCAGAUGGAUCUGCGUUGUAUUAGCUAGUUGGUGGGGUAACGGCUUACCAAGGCGACGAUACAUAGCCGACCUGAGAGGGUGAUCGGCCACACUGGGACUGAGACACGGCCCAGACUCCUACGGGAGGCAGCAGUAGGGAAUCUUCGGCAAUGGACGGAAGUCUGACCGAGCAACGCCGCGUGAGUGAAGAAGGUUUUCGGAUCGUAAAGCUCUGUUGUAAGAGAAGAACGAGUGUGAGAGUGGAAAGUUCACACUGUGACGGUAUCUUACCAGAAAGAGACGGCUAACUACGUG
rnacentral:rRNA from 1 species